rnacentral:rRNA from 1 species
GGAUUGCCCCAGUAACGGCGAGUGAAGCGGCAACAGCUCAAAUUUGAAAUCUGGCCCCCCGGCCCGAGUUGUAAUUUGGAGAGGAUGCUUCUGGCGCGGCGCCGUCCGAGUUCCUUGGAACAGGACGCCACAGAGGGUGAGAGCCCCGUACGGACGGACGCCUAGCCUCUACGAAGCUCCUUCGACGAGUCGAGUAGUUUGGGAAUGCUGCUCAAAAUGGGAGGUAAAUUUCUUCUAAAGCUAAAUACCGGCCAGAGACCGAUAGCGCACAAGUAGAGUGAUCGAAAGAUGAAAAGCACUUUGAAAAGAGGGUUAAAAAGUACGUGAAAUUGUUGAAAGGGAAGCGCCUGUGACCAGACUUGCGCCCCGCGGACCACCCGGCGUUCUCGCCGGUGCACUCUGCGGUGCGCAGGCCAGCAUCGGUUCUCCCAGGGGGACAAAGGCCGCGGGAACGUAGCUCCUUCGGGAGUGUUAUAGCCCGCGGCGGCAUGCCCCUGGGGGGACCGAGGACCGCGCUUCGGCAAG